GACGAACCGUGCGAACGUUGUUCGGAAUCACUGGGCUUAAAGGGCGCGUAGGCGGCCCGCCGCGUCCGGGGUGAAAUCCUCCCGCUCAACGGGAGAACGGCCUGGGAUACGGGCGGGCUGGAGGGGGGUAGGGGCAGGCGGAACUGUGGGUGGAGCGGUGAAAUGCGUUGAGAUCCACAGGAACUCCGGUGGCGAAGGCGGCCUGCUGGACCCCAUCUGACGCUGAGGCGCGAAAGCCAGGGGAGCGAACGGG
rnacentral:rRNA from 1 species